GUGUAGUAUUUAAUGCUUCUUGACGACUGUAGAAGUGAAAUGACAGUUAGAUCUGAAUUACGAAUUACUUCCACACUGGAACUGGAAUGAGUUUCCCACGUAGUGUUGCUAAAUGUCAUGUCAUAAGUGUCAAUUAUUAUCUUCGAUAGAGUUGAGGUCUUUGGAGUAUCUAGAUCUUGUGGCAAUGCCACGCUCCGUGCCUCUCAAGUGUAUACGAAUUGGAAAGAAAGCCGCGCAGUAAGAUUACUUAAAUCAUAAUCGCAUAUAAUAAGGAAACAUAUUUUUAUCAUUCCUAUUGCGCGUCCCACGUCCAGUUUCAAUAAUAUUGAAAAAGAACAUGUGAGAAAAGAUACAGCGCAAAUUUACUGUGCAUGCGAUUGUGGAUGUGGAAAGUAUGUAGAGGCUGUUGAUGAACCACAUUUCACCUACAUUGCCGCAUUUUUUUUUUUCGCAAUGAAUCACUUUUGGUCAAUGGGAGACGCUGCGCACUCACUCUACAAAAUGUGCACAAAGGAAUUUCAGUGCAGCUGAUGAUAGUCUGCAGGUGUGCAGUGAAAAGUAGGGGAAAGGAAUGAAAUUGCAACACACACGCGCCAGACACUUCUCCUAAACUAUUACAGCACACACGCGUACUCACACAUACACAAAUUAUAUAUACAUGCGUGUGUAUAUAUCCAUAUACUGACACAUGUGCACAUUUAUAUAUGUGUGAUGUGCCAUUAUUGAGUUUUUCACGGUUGGCGUUAUAUAGCACAUCUCACCUUUAAAUUUGUUGAUAGAAAAAUAAAAACUGAACGUGUCACGCAAAAGAAUCCAAGCCAAUUCGCAUUUGUCGGGCUGUUAAUGCUGGUCCGGGCUUUUGGGGGCUGCUGCUAGACGACGGGCUGCUGCUUUACAACGGAACAGGAACACACCGAGCACUCACACACCAACAGCAGCUGC